CCUACGGGGUGCAGCAGUGAGGAAUAUUGGUCAAUGGACGAGAGUCUGAACCAGCCAAGUAGCGUGAAGGAUGACUGCCCUAUGGGUUGUAAACUUCUUUUAUAUGGGAAUAAAACGUUCCACGUGUGGGAUUUUGUAUGUACCAUAUGAAUAAGGAUCGGCUAACUCCGUGCCAGCAGCCGCGGUAAUACGGAGGAUCCGAGCGUUAUCCGGAUUUAUUGGGGUUAAAGGGAGCGUAGGUGGAUUGUUAAGUCAGUUGUGAAAGUUUGCGGCUCAACCGUAAAAUUGCAGUUGAAACUGGCAGUCUUGAGUACAGUAGAGGUGGGCGGAAUUCGUGGUGUAGCGGUGAAAUGCUUAGAUAUCACGAAGAACUCCGAUUGCGAAGGCAGUUCACUGGACUGCAACUGACACUGAGGCUCGAAAGUGUGGGUAUCAAACAGGAUUAGAUACCCGUGUAGUC
rnacentral:rRNA from 1 species